GCAGUCCAAGAAUAUUAGUCAAUGCUCGCAAGAGUGAACUAGCUAACUGAAAUCAUAUAAUCAUUAAUAGUGGUGAUAUGAUAACGUAAGGAAAAAUAAUGAUAUAACCUUACUAUUAGUGUUGUCCAAAGCUGGUGCCAGAAGACUCGGUAAGGCCAGAGACGCAAACGUUAAUCGUCCUAAUCAGGCGUAAAGGGUAUGUAGGCUGCUUUAAAAGUUUUAUUUAUAAUAGCUCUUUUUCUUUUUUAAUUUCUAACCUUUCCGUAUCCUUACCUUUCCACCUUACCUUUCUUUACCGUCAGGUAGGGAUAGCAGUUAAUUUAAGGAGACAGUAGCUACGCUAUAAAGAGGAAAAAAUUUCAGAAAAGAUAAUAUAAAAUGAAUUAAAGCUAGAAUCAUAAAGAGGAUAAACCAAAUAAUACUUAGAGUAGGGAUGAUAUCUUUAGAUACUAAGGGGAAUACUAACGGUGAAAGCUUUUUAUCUAAUAGUGAUUGACGCUGAGAAACGAAGGUGAGAAUAGGAAAUAGGAUUAGAUACCCAGAUACCUCUCACUGUCAACGAUGAAUGGUGGUUGUUAGUAAUAAUAAAACUAGUAACGAUGUUAACACGAUAACCAUUCCGCCUUGCGAGUACGGUUGCAAAACUGAAACCAAAAAAAUUAGUCGGUCUCGGAGCAAACGAAGUGAAGCAUGUUAUUUAAUUCGA
rnacentral:rRNA from 1 species